GACGAACGCUGGCGGCGUGCCUAAUACAUGCAAGUAGAACGCUGAAGAGAGGAGCUUGCUCUUCUUGGAUGAGUUGCGAACGGGAGAGUAACGCGUAGGUAACCUGCCUUGUAGCGGGGGAUAACUAUUGGAAACGAUAGCUAAUACCGCAUAACAAUGGAUGACACAUGUCAUUUAUUUGAAAGGGGCAAUUGCUCCACUACAAGAUGGACCUGCGUUGUAUUAGCUAGUAGGUGAGGUAACGGCUCACCUAGGCGACGAUACAUAGCCGACCUGAGAGGGUGAUCGGCCACACUGGGACUGAGACACGGCCCAGACUCCUACGGGAGGCAGCAGUAGGGAAUCUUCGGCAAUGGGGGCAACCCUGACCGAGCAACGCCGCGUGAGUGAAGAAGGUUUUCGGAUCGUAAAGCUCUGUUGUAAGUCAAGAACGAGUGUGAGAGUGGAAAGUUCACACUGUGACGGUAGCUUACCAGAAAGGGACGGCUAACUACGUGCCAGCAGCCGCGGUAAUACGUAGGUCCCGAGCGUUGUCCGGAUUUAUUGGGCGUAAAGCGAGCGCAGGCGGUUUGAUAAGUCUGAAGUUAAAGGCUGUGGCUCAACCAUAGUUCGCUUUGGAAACUGUCAAACUUGAGUGCAGAAGGGGAGAGUGGAAUUCCAUGUGUAGCGGUGAAAUGCGUAGAUAUAUGGAGGAACACCGGUGGCGAAAGCGGCUCUCUGGUCUGUAACUGACGCUGAGGCUCGAAAGCGUGGGGAGCGAACAGGAUUAGAUACCCUGGUAGUCCACGCCGUAAACGAUGAGUGCUAGGUGUUGGAUCCUUUCCGGGAUUCAGUGCCGCAGCUAACGCAUUAAGCACUCCGCCUGGGGAGUACGACCGCAAGGUUGAAACUCAAAGGAAUUGACGGGGGCCCGCACAAGCGGUGGAGCAUGUGGUUUAAUUCGAAGCAACGCGAAGAACCUUACCAGGUCUUGACAUCCCGAUGCUAUUUCUAGAGAUAGAAAGUUACUUCGGUACAUCGGUGACAGGUGGUGCAUGGUUGUCGUCAGCUCGUGUCGUGAGAUGUUGGGUUAAGUCCCGCAACGAGCGCAACCCCUAUUGUUAGUUGCCAUCAUUCAGUUGGGCACUCUAGCGAGACUGCCGGUAAUAAACCGGAGGAAGGUGGGGAUGACGUCAAAUCAUCAUGCCCCUUAUGACCUGGGCUACACACGUGCUACAAUGGUUGGUACAACGAGUUGCGAGUCGGUGACGGCAAGCUAAUCUCUUAAAGCCAAUCUCAGUUCGGAUUGUAGGCUGCAACUCGCCUACAUGAAGUCGGAAUCGCUAGUAAUCGCGGAUCAGCACGCCGCGGUGAAUACGUUCCCGGGCCU
rnacentral:rRNA from 1 species